rnacentral:rRNA from 1 species
AUACGUAGGGGGCGAGCGUUGUCCGGAGUUACUGGGCGUAAAGGGCGCGCAGGCGGCCAUUCAAGUCAUGGGUGAAAUACCGGGGCUUAACCUCGGGGGUGCCUGUGAAACUGGGUGGCUUGAGGGCCGGAGAGGACAGUGGAAUUCCCGGUGUAGCGGUGAUAUGCGUAGAGAUCGGGAGGAACACCAGUGGCGAAGGCGACUGUCUGGACGGUACCUGACGCUCAGGCGCGAAAGCCCGGGGAGCAAACGGGAGUAGAUACCCCGGUAGUCCGGGCCGUAGACGAUGAGUGCUAGGUGUGGCGGGUAUCGACCCCCGCCGUGCCGGAGUUAACGCAAUAAGCGCUCCGCCUGGGGAGUACGGCCGCAAGGCUGAA